GGGGAAUCUUGCACAAUGGGGGCAACCCUGAUGCAGCGACGCCGCGUGAGCGAUGAAGCCCUUCGGGGUGUAAAGCUCUUUCGGCAGGGACGAUUAUGACGGUACCUGCAGAAGAAGGUGCGGCUAACUACGUGCCAGCAGCCGCGGUAAUACGUAGGCACCAAGCGUUGUUCGGAAUUACUGGGCGUAAAGAGUGCGUAGGCGGUCGACUAAGUCUGGUGUGAAAUCUCCCGGCUCAACUGGGAGGGUGCGCCGGAAACUGGUCGGCUAGAGUAUGGGAGAGGAAAGCGGAAUUCCUGGUGUAGCGGUGAAAUGCGUAGAUAUCAGGAGGAACACCUGCGGUGUAGACAGCUUUCUGGACCAAAACUGACGCUGAGGCACGAAAGCGUGGGUAGCAAACA
rnacentral:rRNA from 1 species